GAUGAACGCUGGCGGCGUGCCUAAUACAUGCAAGUCGAGCGAACGGACGAGAAGCUUGCUCCUCUGAUGUUAGCGGCGGACGGGUGAGUAACACGUGGAUAACCUACCUCUAAGACUGGGAUAAUUUCGGGAAACCGGAGCUACUACCGGCUAAUAUUUUCAACCGCAUGGUUCAAAAGUUCAAGACGGUUUUGCUGUCACUUAUAGCUGGAUCCGCGCUGCAUUAGCUAGUUGGUAAGGUAACGGCUUACCAAGGCAACGAUGCGUAGCCGACCUGAGAGGGUGAUCGGCCACACUGGAACUGAGACACGGUCCAGACUCCUACGGGAGGCAGCAGUAGGGAAUAUUGCGCAAUGGGCGAAAGCCUGACGGAGCAACGCCGCGUGAGUGAUGAAGGUCUUCGGAUCGUAAAACUCUGUUAUUAGGGAAGAAAAUAUGUGUAAGUAACUGUGCACAUCUUGACGGUACCUAAUCAGAAAGCCACGGCUAACUACGUG
rnacentral:rRNA from 1 species